UCCGGUGAUGAUAGCGAAAGGGAACCACCUGUACCCAUACCGAACACAGAAGUUAAGCCUUUCAGCGCCGAAAGUACUUGGCCGGGAACGGCCCGGGAGGAUAGGACAUUGCCGGGU
rnacentral:rRNA from 1 species